rnacentral:lncRNA from 1 species
UUUCCGUUAUUUCCGUUGUUGUUCUUGACCUGUCACCUAAUUUUCUGCCGUAUGUUUCUGUCUCUCUGGAGGUUAUUUCCGUUAUUUUUUUUAUUUCCGUUUUUUCCAUUAUUUCAAUUAUUUCCGUUGUUGUUCUAGACCUGUCAUUUAAUUUUCUGCCGUCUUUUUCUGUCACUGUGGAGGUUAUUUCUGUUAUUUCCUUUAUUAUUUCCGUUAUUUUUGUUAUUUCGGUUAUUUCCGUUAUUUCUGUUGUUGUUCUUGACCUGUCACUUAAUAUUCUGCCGUAUGUUUCUGUCUCUCUGGAGGUUAUUUCCGUUCUUUUAGUUUUUUUCCGUUUUUUCCGUUUUUUCCGUUCUUUCCUUUCUUUCCGUUGUUAUUUUUGAC